rnacentral:rRNA from 1 species
AAGUCGUAACAAGGUCUCCGUAGGUGAACCUGCGGAGGGAUCAUUACACAAUAUGAAAGCGGGUUGGGGACCUCAUUUCGGUGAGGACUCCAGCUUGUCUGAAUUAUUCACCCAUGUCUUUUGCGCACUUCUUGUUUCCUGGGCGGGUUCGCCCGCCACCAGGACCCAACCAUAAACCUUUUUUGUAAUUGCAAUCAGCGUCAGUAAACAAUGUAAUUAUUACAACUUUCAACAACGGAUCUCUUGGUUCUGGCAUCGAUGAAGAACGCAGCGAAAUGCGAUACGUAGUGUGAAUUGCAGAAUUCAGUGAAUCAUCGAAUCUUUGAACGCACAUUGCGCCCUUUGGUAUUCCAAAGGGCAUGCCUGUUCGAGCGUCAUUUGUACCCUCAAGCUUUGCUUGGUGUUGGGCGUCUUUUUUGUCUCUCACGAGACUCGCCUUAAAAUGAUUGGCAGCCGGCCUACUGGUUUCGGAGCGCAGCACAAUUCUUGCACUUUGAAUCAGCCUUGGUUGAGCAUCCAUCAAGACCACAUUUUUUAACUUUUGACCUCGGAUCAGGUAGGGAUACCCGCUGAACUUAA